CACUCAUCGUUUACGGCAUGGACUACCAGGGUAUCUAAUCCUGUUCGCUACCCAUGCUUUCGAGCCUCAGCGUCAGUUGCAGACCAGAGAGCCGCCUUCGCCACUGGUGUUCUUCCAUAUAUCUACGCAUUCCACCGCUACACAUGGAGUUCCACUCUCCUCUUCUGCACUCAAGAAAAACAGUUUCCGAUGCAGUUCCUCGGUUAAGCCGAGGGCUUUCACAUCAGACUUAUUCUUCCGCCUGCGCUCGCUUUACGCCCAAUAAAUCCGGACAACGCUUGCCACCUACGUAUUACCGCGGCUGCUGGCACGUAGUUAGCCGUGACUUUCUGGUUGAUUACCGUCAAAUAAAGGCCAGUUACUACCUCUAUCCUUCUUCACCAACAACAGAGCUUUACGAUCCGAAAACCUUCUUCACUCACGCGCGUUGCUCCAUCAGACUUGCGUCCAUUGUGGAAGAUUCCCUACUGCUGCCUCCGUAGGAGUUUGGGCCGUGUCUCAGUCCCAAUGUGGCCGAUCAGUCUCUCAACUCGGCUAUGCAUCAUCGCCUUGGUAAGCCUUUACCUUACCAACUAGCUAAUGCACCGCGGGGGCCAU
rnacentral:rRNA from 1 species